rnacentral:misc_RNA from 1 species
GGAAGUAAAACGUAACAAGGUUUCCGUAGGUGAACCUGCGGAAGGAUCAAUAGUGGAGGGGGUGAGUUUUGUGAAGAGGUGAGCGAAAGCGCACUUGAUUAUACUGAGUAUUCUACGACUAUUACACGAUUGCAGACAAGGGAUCUCUAGGCUCCC